GAAUUCACUAGUGAUUACGGGGUGCAGCAGGCGCGAAACCUUUACACUGCACGACAGUGCGAUAAGGGAAUCCCAAGUGCGUAGGCAUAGAGCCUACGCUUUUGUCCACCGUAGGGAGGUGGACGAAUAAGGGCUGGGCAAGACCGGUGCCAGCCGCCGCGGUAAUACCGGCAGCCCGAGUGAUGACCGAUCUUAUUGGGCCUAAAGCGUCCGUAGCUGGCCGCACAAGUCCAUCGGAAAAUCCACCCGCUCAACGGGUGGGCGUCCGGUGGAAACUGUGUGGCUCGGGACCGGAAGGCGCGACGGGUACGUCCGGGGUAGGAGUGAAAUCCUGUAAUCCUGGACGGACCGCCGAUGGCGAAAGCACGUCGCGAAGACGGAUCCGACAGUGAGGGACGAAAGCUAGGGUCUCGAACCGGAUUAGAUACCCGGGUAGUCCUAGCCGUAAACAAUGCCUGCUAGGUGUGGCUCCCACUACGAGUGGGUGCUGUGCCGUAGGGAAGCCGCUAAGCAGGCCGCCUGGGAAGUACGUCCGCAAGGAUGAAACUUAAAGGAAUUGGCGA
rnacentral:rRNA from 1 species